GGGCCCGCACAAGCGGUGGAGCAUGUGGUUUAAUUCGAUGAUACGCGAGGAACCUUACCAGGGCUUAAAUGCAGAACGACCGGCGUGGAAACAUGCCUUUCUUCGGACGGACUGCAAGGUGCUGCAUGGUCGUCGUCAGCUCGUGCCGUGAGGUGUCGGGUUAAGUCCCAUAACGAGCGCAACCCCUAUCUUUAGUUGCCAGCGGAUAAUGCCGGGGACUCUAGAGAAACUGCCAGCGUAAGCUGUGAGGAAGGUGGGGAUGACGUCAGAUCAUCACGGCCCUUACGUCCUGGGCUACACACGUGCUACAAUGGCAAGGACAAUGAGCUGCCAACCCGCGAGGGUGAGCUAAUCUUCAAACCUUGUCUCAGUUCGGAUUGGAGUCUGCAACUCGACUCCAUGAAGCUGGAAUCGCUAGUAAUCG
rnacentral:rRNA from 1 species